rnacentral:rRNA from 1 species
GAUCAGAGCUAAUACAUGCAAACAACAUGGAUUACUAUAUUUAUAUGGUUGAUACAUGUGCUUUUAUUAGAUUAAAACCAAAUCCAAUUUAUUGGAUAGAUUUUAGAUGAAUCUGGAUAAUUUUGGCUGAUCGUAUGGUCUUUGUACCGACGAUAGAUCAUUCAAAUGUCUGCCCUAUCAACUAUUGAUGGUAGUAUAGAGGACUACCAUGGUUGCAACGGGUAACGGGGAAUCAGGGUUCGAUUCCGGAGAGGGAGCCUGAGAAACGGCUACCACAUCUAAGGAAGGCAGCAGGCGCGUAAAUUACCCAAUCCCAGUACGGGGAGGUAGUGACGAAAAAUAACAAUACAGGACUCAUAUCCGAGGCCCUGUAAUUGGAAUGAGAACACUUUAAAUCCUUUAACAAGUAACAAUUGGAGGGCAAGUCUGGUGCCAGCAGCCGCGGUAAUUCCAGCUCCAAUAGCGUAUAUUAAAGUUGUUGCGGUUAAAACGUUCGUAGUUGAAUUUGUGUCCCACACGGGUAAUACACCUAAGUGCGGGUUUCGUAUUACUUGUUGUGUUUGCAUUGGUAAAACAGUGUGAAUAUGACUUUAAGUGUGAUGGACGUUUUACCGGUGAGGGAAACGGAUUCGUAUUAUUUUCUAAUAGUACCGGAUAACGCCCCUUAUCCAAAAAAACCCAUUUUGGUGCUCUUCACCGAGUGCUAAUGUGGGCCGGUACAAUUACUUUGAACAAAUUAGAGUGCUUAAAGCAGGCUAAAUUUAAUGAAAAUUAAAACGCCUGAAUAUAUUUUGCAUGGAAUAAUGGAAUAGGACCUCUGUUCUACUUUCAUUGGUUUUUAGAUCAAGAGGUAAUGAUUAAUAGAAGCAGUUGGGGGCAUUAGUAUUACGAGGCGAGAGGUGAAAUUCGUAGACCCUCGUAAGACUGACUUAAGCGAAAGCAUUUGCCAAGGAUGUUUUCAUUAAUCAAGAACGAAAGUUAGAGGAUCGAAGGCGAUCAGAUACCGCCCUAGUUCUAACCAUAAACGAUGCCAGCUAGCAAUUGAAUGUAGCUACUUAUUUAGGCUCAUUCAGUCGCUUUCCGGGAAACCAAAGCUUUUGGGCUCCGGGGGAAGUAUGGUUGCAAAGCUGAAACUUAAAGGAAUUGACGGAAGGGCACCACCAGGAGUGGAGCCUGCGGCUUAAUUUGACUCAACACGGGAAAACUUACCAGGUCCGAACAUAAAUGAGUAAGACAGAUUGAUAGCUCUUUCUCGAAUCUAUGGGUGGUGGUGCAUGGCCGUUCUUAGUUCGUGGAGUGAUUUGUCUGGUUAAUUCCGAUAACGAACGAGACUCAAACUUUUUUAAAUAGAUGCCUGCAGGGUUAUGAUGUUGAAAUUUUACGUCACCCGUUUCUCGAUCGAUCAUACGAGGAGCAAUCUGAGUAUGGUUGGCGGGUUUCUUGGUUGCGACAUAAAAUGGAGUCAUACCUGUUUGGUUUGUCUUAAUAGGACACUUUGCUUCUUAAAUGGACAAAAUGCGUCUAGCAUUAAUGAGAUUGAGCAAUAACAGGUCUGUGAUGCCCUUAGAUGUCCUGGGCUGCACGCGCGCUACAAUGAAGGUAUCAGUGUGUUCUAUCCUUGGCCGAGAGGUCUGGGUAAACAUUGAACCACCUUCUUGGUUGGGAUUGUGGACUGUAACUGUUCACAUGAACCCGGAAUUCCCAGUAAGUGCGAGUCAUAAGCUUGCAUUGAUUAC